rnacentral:rRNA from 1 species
AUAAACGCUGGCGGCGUGCAUGAGACAUGCAAGUCGAACGAAGGAUCGGGCUUGCUCGAUCCUUAGUGGCGGACGGCUGAGUAACGCGUAGGUGACCUACCCCGAAGUGGGGAAUAACUGCCCGAAAGGGUGGCUAAUACCGCAUGUGGUCGCACGUUCAUUCGUGCGAGUAAAGCCGCAAGGCGCUUCGGGAGGGGCCUGCGUCCGAUUAGCUCGUUGGUGGGGUAAUGGCUUACCAAGGCGACGAUCGGUAGGUGGUCUGAGAGGACGAUCACCCAGACUGGGACUGAGACACGGCCCAGACUCCUACGGGAGGCAGCAGUCGGGAAUUUUGCUCAAUGGGGAAACCCUGAAGCAGCAACGCCGCGUGAGGGAUGAAGGCCUUCGGGUUGUAAACCUCUUUUGUCAGGGACGAUGAUGACGGUACCUGGCGAAUAAGCCACGGCUAACUACGUG